rnacentral:ncRNA from 2 species
GAUUUAUAAAGAAGAGUGGAGAGACAGGCUCUGAGAAGCUCUAGCAACCUACCAACCGUGUAAGGUGCUAAUUCCUGAACCCAAUGGACAUAUUGCCUUGGGGAAUAUAAAUU